UGACUCUAUCACACCAGUAUCAGAGGA
rnacentral:piRNA from 1 species